rnacentral:SRP_RNA from 2 species
GCUGGGCAUGGUGGCGUGUGCCUGUAGUCCCAUCUACUCAGGAAGCUGAGGCAGGAGGAUCACUUGAAUCCAGGAGUUCAGGGAAGCAGUGAGCUAUGAUCCCACCACUGUACUCCAGAGCCUGGGCAACAGAGUGAGACCCUGUCUCUA